UGCCGACGGCUGCCCCCCGCUAAGCCCUCCCGCUGCCACCCGCUGCUGUGAAGAGGGCUGCUGCUGCCGCUCGGCCCUCAGGGGAGCCGCAGCAGCACGGGUUUUUUUUUUUUAAAGUCAUCCUUACAAGGUUGCGGUGGUAGACGCACUACCACCCUACUGCCAAGGCAGCCUGGAUCAUAUCACAGAACCUCGAUAGGGCCAGAGAUCAGAGAAGAGAAGAGAAGUUUUUGUUCCACCACACACCUACUGGAAACCUCAACAGCCAGGUGACACCACACACCUACUGGAGUUCUCAACAGCUAGGUGACAACUACAGCCACUGCCAUGACCACACAGAUCAUCUAGAGCUCUGCAGUUGACAGGCCCAGAGCUCCACUUGAAUCUUGGAUCUUGAACUUGAAAGCUCUCCAGUUGCAGGCCCAGAGCUCCAGCCUUGUACCCCAGAGGCUCCCUGCACCAAAGGGGGGGGUCUACACACCACCAAGGUGUGGAUGGGUUUUGGUAAACCAGGGCCCUUCCUGGUGGGGUGACCGGGAUUCGAACCCAGGAUCUCUCGAAGCCUUAACGAAAUCGGCUCGAGUGUCUUAACCAUUUAGACGACCCCCCCCCCCUGCCAGCUCUGGGUGCUUCCCCCCGCCACCAGAGCUGGCAGCGAGGGCGAGGCCACGGCAGGUGGUCCGCGGGCGCCACCAGCGGCAGCCGCUGCGUCACCCACACCCGCCGCCUCCUGCAUCUGCACGUCCCUGGAGUGUCCAGCUUAUGUGCAGGCGAGGACGUGGCUGCAGCAGCUGUGGGCCUGCAUUGCGCCCCAGGCAGCGGCGCCGCCAGUGACGGACGCGUGCUUCAUGCUGGGGGACCGCAUGGGUAUGUGGGCCUCAGGCCCGCGGGGGGCGGGCGCGCUGCUGUGGAGCACUUUGCGGGCCACCUUCUUGUACGCCGUCUGGUGUGCGUACUGGUCCCGCGAGCCUGCUAAGCAGACGUCGGAGCAUGUGGUUCGGGAGGUGGUCAUCAGCGAGCUGCGCAGGGUGAUGCAGCUGCGUUUCACUGCCGCCACGCUAACCCCUGAAACCCUGUCGGCUCUGCCCACUCAGCUUCUCACCGCACAGCUCAAGGCGGCUAAGCUGGAGCACUUUGUUGCCAUCUGGUCGGCGGGUGGCGCGCUUUGUGAAGUGGAGGAGGUUCAGGGUGGGUCACCGAAGUUGAACUUGCGGCUGACGCUUGCAUUUUUUGUUUUCAGGAAUCAUCCUUACAAGGUUGAACAGGGGCAGACGCGCUGCCCCCCUGCUGCCUGAAAGCAGCCUGGUCCCCGAGACCAGAUCACCUGUGCAGGCCCCCUAGGUUUCCUUUUGGGCGGCUUUUCUAUCCAAGCGCUGGCGUGGUGUACUAUCGUCAUCAGCUUAUCUGGCGUCCAUGUGUUUUAGCUCUGGCUGGCGUCGCAGCGCCUGGGCGGCUGUGGGACUUCCUGCACAGCGCGUCUUGCAGCGGGCUGGAGCCCACUUAGUCAGCGCCACAUCUGGCCCGUUUAGUUUUCUGCUUGUGUCUCCUCUGCCGGUUCUCCUGGGGUGUUGCUUAAGCAACCGACUUGUGGGGGUGGGGUGGGUUUGGGCGGGGCGAGUGCGUUGCGCUGGUGUUUUCUUUUCUGGCGCACGGUGGUGGUUUUUUUUUUUGAGGAAUCAUCCUUACAAGGUUGAACAGGGGCAGACGCGCUGCCCCCCUGCUGCCUGAAAGCAGCCUGGUCCCCGAGACCAGAACCCUGACAGGGCAAGAAGAGAAGAAAAGAGAAGAAAAACAGAAAACAAACACCUCGAAAACCGCCACCAACCACCCCCAUCCAUCCCACCCCACCCCACCCCGACCCGGCAGACAGAGCAGGAGGCUGGCCCCCCCGCCCCCCGGGAGGGGUUGCAAAAAAACACCGCCAGGCCUAACCCAAGCACCAACCUACACCACAGCCUAACCGCAAGAACCACCACCACCGCGCGCCAGAAAUAGAAACACCAGCGCUACGCACUCGCCCCGCCCAAACCCACCCCACCCCCACAAGUUGGUUGCUUAAGCAACACCCCAGGAGAACCGGCAGAGGAGACACAAGCAGAAAACUAAACGGGCCAGAUGUGGCGCUGACUAAGCGGGCUCCAGUCCGCUGCAAGACGCGCUGUGCAGGAAGUCCCACAGCCGCCCAGGCGCUGCGACGCCAGCCAGAGCUAAAACACAUGGGCGCCAGAUAAGCUGAUGACGAUAAACGCCACGCCAGCGCCUGGAACAAACCGCUGCCAAAAAGGAAACCUAGGGGGCCUGCACAGGUGAUGCAAGCGUCAGCCGCAAGUUCAACUUCGGUGACCCACCCUGAACCUCCUCCACUUCACAAAGCGCGCCACCCGCCGACCAGAUGGCCACAAAGUGCUCCAGCUUAGCCGCCUUGAGCUGUGCGGUGAGAAGCUGAGUGGGCAGAGCCGACAGGGUUUCAGGGGUUAGCGUGGCGGCAGUGAAACGCAGCUGCAUCACCCUGCGCAGCUCGCUGACCACCUCCCGAACCACAUGCUCCGACGUCUGCUUAGCAGGCUCACGGGACCAGUACGCACACCAGACGGCGUACAAGAAGGUGGCCCGCAAAGUGCUCCACAGCAGCGCGCCCGCCCCCCGCGGGCCUGAGGCCCACAUACCCAUGCGGUCCCCCAGCAUGAAGCACGCGUCCGUCACUGGCGGCGCCGCUGCCUGGGGCACAACGCAUGCCCACAGCUGCUGCAGCCACGUCCUCGCCUGCGCAUAAGCUGGACACUCCAGGAAGAUGUGCGUCAGGCUGGCCCACGCCCGCGGGCCAGGUGGCCCGCAGGCGGGGUGAGGACAGUGCGCCCCCAACCCCCCGCACCCCGUGGUCACCCGUGGCCGAAUGCCCUUGCCCGCCCUGUACAGCCCGCAAGGCAGGUAAGCAUGUUGCAGCCGGUACACCAGCACCUUUGCCCCCCGACUGGCGUGGCUGUCCCACAGCCUCCGCCACGUACCCCGCAGAAGGGACGCAUCCGGGGGCGGCAUGCGAGGGUCGCCCUCCACCGCCGCUGCUGCUGCCGCCGCCGCCGUGGCAGGCCCAGUGCUAGGUCCCGCCCCUCCCGCCGCCUGCUCCUGCAGCCGCGCGGACCGCCGCGGCCCCUCACCCGACUGCUGGGACGGGGACGCAUACGACUGCAGUUCUCUCGCCGGCGUGUUCUGCUGCCCGGCUGCCGCGGAGGUGCGGUGGAGCCAGGGGUCCAGAGCCACCGGGUUAUUGUGGAAAUGCUGCGCCGCCGUGGUGGUCAGCUGCGCCGCUGCAUGCUGCCACUCCGCCUCCCGCUCCGCCAGCCGCGACUGUGCCGCCGGCUGGGGCCCCGAAUCCCCCGCCUGCUGUGUUGGCGCCGGGCACGGCAUGGCUGCGGGGCGGGCCGGAGCCGGAGGCGCGGCCGGGUUAUUAGCCGCGGUGAUGGCCCGCCGCACGUCCCGCACCGUGUAGUCCGCCAAGCUGACACCCGCAAUCCGGCAGUGCUCCGGGUGCACUACCACCCCAGCCUCCGGCGCCAGGAAGUACGGCGCCCGAGGCCACGCCCCCGCCCGUUCCCCUGGUGAUGCUGCAUCGUACGCCGCCCGCUCUUCAAAGGUCCACAGGUGCCACGGCUUGCGAUGCUGCAGCACACAGGCAGGCUGCCACGCCCCAUCCACCGCCGGGGGCAGCACGCCAGGCCCAGGCUCCAAGAGCCGCCCCGUGUAGUGGACGUAGGACAUAGCCCCCGCAGCGUUAGCCACCCACAGCUGGUCCAGGCUAACCCGCCACUGUGGCGGCGCCGCUGGCGGCUGAGUGGCUGGCUGCGGUGGAUGCUGUUCCACGCCCGCGCUCCGCACGUGGCCGACCGCGGCCGCCAGCCGGGCAGGCAGCCCCGCUGGCGCCGGCGCGUCGCUGUACACCCACGCCCACGUGGUGGCCGAGUCCGGGCGCACAUGAGUAAGCAGCGCCCGGGUGAGCAUCUUCCAGGGUUGCCGGCCUGGCUGGGCAAGGAGGGCGAAAGUCUUAGCUUGCAAGUUCAACUUCGGUGACCCACCCUGAACCUCCUCCACUUCACAAAGCGCGCCACCCGCCGCCCAGAUGGCCACAAAGUGCUCCAGCUUAGCCGCCUUGAGCUGUGCGGUGAGAAGCUGUGUGGGCAGAGCCGACAGGGUUUCAGGGGUUAGCGUGGCGGCAGUGAAACGCAGCCGCAUCACCCUGCGCAGCUUUUUUUUUUUGAGGAAUCAUCCUUACAAGGUUGAAGCUCGCUGACCACCUCCCGUACCACAUUUUGUUUUUUUGAGGGAUCAUCCUUACAAGGUUGAACAGGGGCACAUGCUCCGACGUCUGCUUAGCAGGCUCGCGGGACCAGUACGCACACCAGACGGCGUACAAGAAGGUGGCCCGCAAAGGCUUUUUUUUUAAGGCAUCGACCACGGCAGAGGUUGCUUAGCGAUAAGUUGGUGUGUAACGUCGGUUCAGACCCGAGUUUGAUUCUCCCCAAAUUCGGUACAGGGGAAACCUCUGUGCGUAUUCAAAUCACGCACAGUCGCUCCGCAGGGACCGCACGGCUCUUUAGUCGUGUCCUUGUCAUCCGUGGCUAACGUCAGAUAAGAGAGCGGUCGUAAAGUGCCGGCAAAGGGGCCGGACUCUGGAUUGAUCCAGAGUUUCAGUUGAGAUGUUGCCCAACAGUCGGCAUUACCUGAUCCCCCGAUCUCAGGUACCGAAAGCCGUGAGGGUAGAUCAUCCGAGCUGAACAUGGAUAGGACACCAGGGGCUUAAUCCACUAGCGGACCGCCAUGCGAUCCAUGGGGCGUGCCCCAAAGGGAGUCAAGUGACAUGGGACGCAACCUGACGCAAUGCACGGUGUUAUAGUGCUGAGCUUGAGAGCAGGCGUGUGCAAGUAGUGACCCUUCGUGGCGUAGAGGUGAGGUGAAAGGAGGCUGGUAUAGGAUUGGCGACUGAAGUCUCCGUAUGAUCUGGAGUGCCAGAGUUGUAACAUACGUACGUAGAGCGAAAGGUACUGCGGAUGCUGGCGUGCGCACAACCUUCCGGACCGGUGACUGGGGCGGGGUCGGGGUCAGGGGGGUCGGGGCUGUGCGUCGGACGGUUGGACGUCGAGCCCUACACGUUUUGCCGAUAACAGAGUCUCAGCAUCGCCGCAUUGCUUCAUAUACCGCAUGCACGCUCAGUCUGCAGGUAUUGAACAAAACGGCAGCAUGGCUAUUAAAAGUCGCGACUCCGCGGGACGAAGCGGGGCUGGCAAGAACUUCGUUGCGGCGAAACCGUCUUCGUAAUCCAGGAUGCCUUGAUAAAUUGAUAACAAUGCCUAAGAUGUAUAGCUCUGAUUUAUUGGGGCUGACAGCGCGGCUGUAUUAUGUGGAAAUGCUUGCGCUCGCAGCACACGCGCCCGCGAGGCUUCUGACAGGUAUAUAGGUGCCCAUGUUGAAGCCAUUUAUAUGUUAACAAAUUUAACUGGAUCAGCAGGAGCGUCUGCGAUAAGAUCGGCAUCUAACAUGUCUUUCUUGCAGCUGAGGAGUUCAUAACAUAUGUUUGAGUGUGUUAAAACUCUUGCUGUCACAGUUACUUUCGCGAUCGAGGUUCCCUGACUCGAGUCGGGUGACGGAUCUGCGUCGCUGGGGCCUCCUCUUCCUUGUGUACAGUGGCUUCGUGUAACUCAUUGCUUAUAUAAUAGCAGCGUGCAGUCGGCAGGCGGCGGGAACGUGUGUUUACCAACUUAGCGAAACCGUGCGUUCUGAAACGUAUGGGUGCGCCGCGCCCCCUGCGGGGGCCGGGGCACGCCAACCCCGCUCCCACCGGUGGGCAGGACCGGCAAAUGAUAAGGUGGUCGGGGUGACUUCCCGCCUUCUCUCGAACUGGGUUGAGAGAUGAUCAGCGAAGGCGUUGCCCCGUUAAUACAUGCUAGGCCCUAUGGGCCAGCGUUGGGAUUAUUAUUAUUAUUAUUUUUCCUAUAUCAUAAGAAGAAUACUUAUACAAGGUUUCGGUGCAAAGUGCUCCACAGCAGCGCGCCCGCCCCCCGCGGGCCUGAGGCCCACAGACCCAUGCGGUCCCCCAGCAUGAAGCAUGCGUCCGUCACUGGCGGCGCCGCUGUCUGGGGCGCAACGCAGGCCCACAGCUGCUGCAGCCACGUCCUCGCCUGCGCAUAAGCUGGACACUCCAGGAAGAUGUGCGUCAGGCUGGCCCACGCCCGCGGGCCAGGUGGCCCGCAGGCGGGGUGAGGACAGUGCGCCCCCAACCCCCCGCACCCCGUGGUCACCCGUGGGCGAAUUCCCUUGCCCGCCCGGUACAGCCCGCAAGGCAGGUAAGCAUGUUGCAGCCGGUACACCAGCACCUUUGCCCCCCGACUGGCGUGGCUGUCCCACAGCCUCUGCCACGUACCCCGCAGAAGGGACGCAUCCGGGGGCGGCAUGCGAGGGUCGCCCUCCACCGCCGCCACUGCUGCCGCCGCCGCCGUGGCAGGCCCCGUGCUAGGUCCCGCCCCACCCACCGCCUGCUCCUGCAGCUGCGCGGAACGCCGCGGCCCCUCACCCGAGUGCUGGGACGGGGACGCAUACGACUGCACAGUGCUCGUAUCUUCCUUCUUUUCGACAGAAAUUUGCCCCCAAAAGCCUCCGGCGGAAGAAAUUUUUGAUUCUGAAGUCCAAAAAUCUGUGAAAACGCUUCAGGUUUUGGGGGGUCUUUCUGAGAAUGGCAGAAGACAUUUUGGGGCGUUUCUGUCACUUGUCCGGGCCCAAGGCAAGGGUGACUGAGGUUCUCCAGGAUAAUCUACGGCCGUGUCCUGCUGGGGGGCACACCACGAUAGGCCAGCCUUCUACCAGGGUAGUCAUGCCGUGGGUGAGUGAGCAUGAUGAGCGUGGGUGAGGGCGCUGGGGUUUGGCGUGGGGAUGGGCCACGAUUUGCCAUGGAGCCAUGAAGCCGGUGCUUUAUUCAGCAAUAGCGUUAAUGUGGCAACAGCUACCUCACCCCGCACGCUGUAACAGUGGCACAUCCCGUGCGGCGGAAUAUUUUGCUGUGCCGGAGCCGGAACGGGGGCUGGGGGCAACUGCAGCCGCAUUUGGCACGCUGCAACAGGGCAAGCCUGACACACCCCUGGCCUGACACGAAUCGCGCAUAUGUUGGGGGCGGAGCCCCCGGAAAAAUUUUGGGGAUGAAAGAUGCGGCGGCAGCGGGUUUCUGAAAAUUAAAGAUGCCUGUUUUCGGAAAUCUGUCACUGGCGCCGCGCCUGCCUUCUUAAGAUACGAGCACUGCGACUGCAGUUCUCUCGCCGGCGUGUUCUGCUGCCCGGCUGCCGCGGAGGUGCGGUGGAGCCAGGGGUCCAGAGCCACCGGGUUAUUGUGGAAGUGCUGCGCCGCCGUGGUGGUCAGCUGCGCCGCUGCAUGCUGCCACUCCGCCUCCCGCUCCGCCAGCCGCGACUGUGCCGCCGGCUGGGUCCCCGAACCCUCCGCCUGCUGUGCCGGCGCCGGGCACGGCAUGGCUGCGGGGCGGGCCGGAGCCGGAGGUGUGGCCGGGUUAUUAGCCGCGGUGAUGGCCCGCCGCACGUCCCGCACCGUGUAGUCCGCCAAGCUGACACCCGCAAUCCGGCAGUGCUCCGGGUGCACCACCACCCCAGCCUCCGGCGCCAGGAAGUAUGGCGCCCGAGGCCACGCCCCCGCCCGUUCCCCUGGUGAUGCUGCAUCGUACGCCGCCCGCUCUUCAAAGGUCCACAGGUGCCGCGGCUUGCGGUGCUGCAGCACACAGGCAGGCUGCCACGCCCCAUCCACCGCCGGGGGCAGCACGCCAGGCCCAGGCUCCAAGAGCCGCCCCGUGUAAUGGACGUAGGACACAGCCCCCGCAGCGUUAGCCACCCAGAGCUGGUCCAGGCUAACCCGCCACUGUGGCGGCACCGCUGGUGGCUGAGUGGCUGGCUGCGGCGGAUGCUGUUCCACGCCCGCGCUCCGCACGUGGCCGACCGCGGCCGCCAGCCGGGCAGGCAGCCCCGCUGGCGCCGGCGCGUCGCUGUACACCCACGCCCACGUGGUGGCGGAGUCCGGGCGCACAUGGGUAAGCAGCGCCCGGGUGAGCGUCUUCCAGGGUUGCCGGCCUGGCUGGGCAAGGGCAUAUGACCGGGUGCACCGGCAGUGGCUUUUGUUUUUAAAGUCAUCCUUACAAGGGUGCGGCAACCCGGUCUCACCCGCGUUUUGUGCACCGUCCAAAUUUGCACUCGCUUUAACCCCGCAAAACUGGUCGGGGCAAAAGUCCGACUAGGAAUCCAACCUUAUGGGCAGCUUGCCAGCGUGUCAGAUCCGUAGUCCGACAUUUGCCCCAGUGCCGUACGGCCCUUUCCGUGUGGGGUCUCUUGGGGGCAGAUAGGGGGGUUCCCCGACGGCAAAAGGGUCACCCCUGAUUUCCCCGCGCUCUCAGGCAAUUCUCAUACAUAGCAUUGACUUGCUGGUUGAGUGGCAGGGCGGUCUGCGCUCGCCUGCGGUCGAAGUAGGUGGGUUUUGGCCAGCCAGCCAGCGGGCUCGAUGGGUACGUGCGGGCACGGAAACGUGCUGGAGGGGGCAUAAACUCACUCAACAUGCUAUUUAGACACAUAAUACCGCAUUGGAAUGUAUCCCGGAGCAAAAUGCGAGAAUCAACCGACUGGCCAUUUCGCGACCGAGCGAGGUCCCUCAAGCAGCCAUUUCCUCAAUAUAUCAACGUUGCCGUGCCUAUACGUAGCUAUAUGUAGAUGCUAGAGAGUCUCUGCGGGGGCUAAAAGCAGCUCUUCGCGCAAAAUGUCGGGGCAUGCAGCUGCAUUUCGCGAGCUCGGCGAGCGGACAGGCCGCGGCAGGGCCCAUAACAGCUAUUCAUAACAUACAUAUGUCAUGAAUAGGCACUUGGGGCGGUUUGGGCCUUGGACGGUGCCGCGUGUAUGGGCACGUCCCGGGUGCGUGAGACCGGGUUGGGGUGCGGAGUGCUGUCGAAACGCGAACGCGAAUGUGCGCGACACGAAGAGAAGUUGUAGUCGCUAGCACGCAUAGAAGGCCGGUUAGCAGGAGGCGGUCACAGCAGACAUGUUACCUCAUCCAGACGGUAAACGCCACGGGCAAUAGAGGAGCGCCGCCGACCCAUCACUGAUAUAACCAGGUUGCGAUGGCUAGGCUGUCGGACGGCUGGCGGGCUGGCGCGGAGCGGAGCUGCGGGGCGCGCGGCAUCCGAAACCAACCUGGAAAACACCAGCGCCACCGUCGGGGUGCGGUGGUAGACGCACUACCACCCUACUGCCAAGGCAGCCUGGAUCAUAUCACAGAACCUCGAUAGGGCCAGAGAUCAGAGAAGAGAAGAGAAUUUUGUUCCACCACACACCUACUGGAGACCUCAACAGCCAGGUGACAACUACAGC
rnacentral:lncRNA from 1 species